AUUGAACGCUGGCGGCAGGCCUAACACAUGCAAGUCGAGCGGAUGAAGGGAGCUUGCUCCUGGAUUCAGCGGCGGACGGGUGAGUAAUGCCUAGGAAUCUGCCUGGUAGUGGGGGAUAACGUCCGGAAACGGGCGCUAAUACCGCAUACGUCCUGAGGGAGAAAGUGGGGGAUCUUCGGACCUCACGCUAUCAGAUGAGCCUAGGUCGGAUUAGCUAGUUGGUGGGGUAAAGGCCUACCAAGGCGACGAUCCGUAACUGGUCUGAGAGGAUGAUCAGUCACAUUGGAACUGAGACACGGUCCAGACUCCUACGGGAGGCAGCAGUGGGGAAUAUUGGACAAUGGGCGAAAGCCUGAUCCAGCCAUGCCGCGUGUGUGAAGAAGGUCUUCGGAUUGUAAAGCACUUUAAGUUGGGAGGAAGGGCAGUAAGUUAAUACCUUGCUGUUUUGACGUUACCAACAGAAUAAGCACCGGCUAACUUCGUGC
rnacentral:rRNA from 1 species